AUUGUGUCUCAUUGUCUUUUGACUUUUACAAUAAAUAAGACUUUCAAAUCGAGACAAUUUUAGGAUCGUGUGUGGUUUCAGUGACAGUGACUGAGCUGAGCAGCGCCUGUGAUUGGCUGAGACGUCUGUCAAUCCAACGGACACGGCUAAAGUCUUGGUCAAACGACAGCAUCUGGAACAGUCAUGACAUCUGAACAAAUACAGAUCGCUGCUGAGGGGUAGUGAAGAAACUACCAACUACUAAAUACAUUAGUUGUUGGAACAGCUUGAUCAGCCACGCCAGGCUGGGAGAGGGGCCUAGCCUUGGAGUGAGGGGUCCUGAGGGGCAGUGAGGAACACCUCAGGACGUUACCUGGACUGGACUUGACCUGCUCACGAGAACGGAGCUACGGGAGGCGACGGACCGUGGUGACAUCCGGAUCUACGGGAAACAGAACAUAACAAGACCCAGACUCAUUAUGAAGAGUGACAAACAACAGUUAGUUGGGAUCAGGGAGGUUUCAUUCUUUGACUGAAUCCCUUUCAGUUAGAAUAAAAUGCCUCAUUAAAGCA
rnacentral:lncRNA from 1 species